rnacentral:rRNA from 1 species
UACGGAGGAUCCAAGCGUUAUCCGGAUUUAUUGGGUUUAAAGGGUGCGUAGGCGGCUCAUUAAGUCAGGGGUGAAAGACGGCAGCUUAACUGUCGCAGUGCCUUUGAUACUGAUGAGCUUGAAUACAGUUGAGGUAGGCGGAAUGUGACAAGUAGCGGUGAAAUGCAUAGAUAUGUCACAGAACACCAAUUGCGAAGGCAGCUUACUAAAGUGUAAUUGACGCUGAGGCACGAAAGCGUGGGGAUCAAACAGG